rnacentral:rRNA from 1 species
CAGCAGCCGCGGGAAUACGAAGGGGGCUAGCGUUGCUCGGAAUCACUGGGCGUAAAGGGUGCGUAGGCGGGUCUUUAAGUCAGGGGUGAAAUCCUGGAGCUCAACUCCAGAACUGCCUUUGAUACUGAAGAUCUUGAGUUCGGGAGAGGUGAGUGGAACUGCGAGUGUAGAGGUGAAAUUCGUAGAUAUUCGCAAGAACACCAGUGGCGAAGGCGGCUCACUGGCCCGAUACUGACGCUGAGGCACGAAAGCGUGGGGAGCAAACAGGAUUAGAUACCCCAGUAGUCCCUGUCUCUUAUAC